AGCUCCAGCCCCUGCACCUCUCCACCCUCCUUCUCCCCCUUCCCACCCCCAUUACCCUCCAGCCCCUGCUCACCCUCCAACCCAUCACCAUCACCAUCACCCUUCUGCUCCUGUUCACCCUCCUCUCAACCCUCCGCUUGUUCCAGUUCACCCCCCUCUUAAGCCUCCGGUUCCAAUUCACCCUCCUCUUAACCCUCCGGUUCCAGUUCACCCUCCUGUCAAGCCUCCUGUUCCAGUUCACCCUCCGGUCAAGCCUCCUGUUCCAGUUCACCCUCCGGUCAAGCCUCCUGUUCCAGUUCACCCUCCGGUUCCUGUCCACCCUCCUGUUCCAGUGCACCCCUUCCGUAGAAGCUUUGUUGCAGUUCAAGGAGUUGUCUACGUGAAGUCCUGCAAGUAUGCUGGCGUUGACACCCUCUUGGGGGCCACACC
rnacentral:lncRNA from 1 species